CUCUGGCUAUAGGAAAUUGUUAGUGGCAGACGGGUGAGUAAUGCGUAGGAAUCUACCUAGUAGUACGGAAUAGCCAUUAGAAAUGGUGGGUAAUACUGUAUAAUCCCCGAGGGGGAAAGAUUUAUCGCUAUUAGAUGAGCCUACGUUAGAUUAGCUAGUUGGUGAGGUAAUGGCUUACCAAGGCUAUGAUCUAUAGCUGGUCUGAGAGGACGAUCAGCCACACUGGAACUGAGAUACGGUCCAGACUCCUACGGGAGGCAUCAGUGGGGAAUAUUGAACAAGGGCCGAAACCCUGAUCCAGCUAUGCCGCGUGAGUGAAGAAGGCCUUCGGGUUGUAAAACUCUUUCAAGAGGGAAAAUAAUGACGGUACCUAUA
rnacentral:rRNA from 1 species